UACGGGGGGGGGUAAGCGUUGUUCGGAAUUACUGGGCGUAAAGGGCUCGUAGGCGGCCAACUAAGUCAGACGUGAAAUCCCUCGGCUUAACCGGGGAACUGCGUCUGAUACUGGAUGGCUUGAGAUUGGGAGAGGGAUGCGGAAUUCCAGGUGUAGCGGUGAAAUGCGUAGAUAUCUGGAGGAACACCGGUGGCGAAGGCGACAUCCUGGACCAACACUGACGCUGAGGCACGAAAGCGUGGGGAGCAAACAGG
rnacentral:rRNA from 1 species